AAUUCCACCAUCCACUAAGUGAAUGUACGCUGGCAAUAGUUCCGCCUGCUCGUGCACUAUUUCAAGAUGGCGGACGACGACAUGGACGCGUACGAUGAUGACCUGGAUGAUGUUGAAGAAGAGGACCAUUUUGAGGAUGUAGAUGACUUGGAGG